UACGUAGGGAGCGAGCGUUGUCCGGAUUUAUUGGGUGUAAAGGGUGCGUAGGCGGCUAUGUAAGUCAGACGUGUAAUUCAGAGGCUUAACCUCUUGGCUGCGUUUGAAACUGCACAGCUUGAGUGGAGUAGAGGCAGAUGGAAUUUCCAGUGUAGCGGUGAAAUGCGUAGAUAUUGGAAGGAACACCGGUGGCGAAGGCGAUCUGCUGGGCUCUAACUGACGCUGAGGCACGAAAGCAUGGGGAG
rnacentral:rRNA from 1 species